rnacentral:rRNA from 1 species
GUAGGGAAUCUUCCACAAUGGACGAAAGUCUGAUGGAGCAACGCCGCGUGAGUGAAGAAGGUCUUCGGAUCGUAAAACUCUGUUGUUAGAGAAGAACGUGCAUGAUAGUAACUGAUCAUGUAAUGACGGUAUCUAACCAGAAAGCCACGGCUAACUACGUGCCAGCAGCCGCGGUAAUACGUAGGUGGCAAGCGUUGUCCGGAUUUAUUGGGAGUAAAGGGAACGCAGGCGGUUGUUUAAGUCUGAUGUGAAAGCCUUCGGCUUAACCGAAGAAUAGCAUUGGAAACUGGAAGGCGUGAGUGCAGAAGAGGAGAGUGGAAUUCCAUGUGUAGCGGUGAAAUGCGUAGAUAUAUGGAGGAACACCAGUGGCGAAAGCGGCUUCCUGGCACAAUACUGACGCUCAUGUGCGAAAGCUAGGGCAGCGAACGGGAUUAGAAACCCGGGUAGUCC